UUAAGAUAUCGCAGCUUCGGUCGUGACGAUCGGGUUGUGUUGAGAGCAAUCUAUCGGCAGGUGUUGUUGGUAACUUGCUCGUUGAAUUUUUAAAUCAGGCCAAUUUUGCCGACGGUUUUAGUUUUAAUAACCGUAGGCUUUUAGGCAUAUUUAUUUUUNGACCUCAAAUCAAGCGAGGCUACCCGCUGAAUUUAAGCAUAUAAYUAAGCGGAGGAAAAGAAACUAACAAGGAUUCCCUCAGUAACGGCGAGUGAAGCGGGA
rnacentral:misc_RNA from 1 species